CUGGCUGACAACAAAUCAAGAGCUUGGGAUAGCAGUGUUUGAGAGCAUGUACUCAGAGCGGGUUUGGGGUGGGCAGAAACACAGAGUGCAUUCCAGGUUGGCAAAAGUGUACGGUUUACAAUUACAAGGCAAGGUGAAGCUGCUGCUGCUGAGAGUCAAGGAGGCUAUAAAUACUUAGUAAAUGAGGCCAAAAAGACUGGCGAAUGCUGUUGGAAGAUGCAAAGCUGCACGGGAGGAAUUACUGUGGAAGGGCAAAUAAGCAAAAGAAAACUACUUUUAUGUGAUCCUGACAUAAUUUAUAUGAAAGGGAAGAGACUUGUACUCAAUAUGGCAGUAUGAUGAGGUGAAGAAGCAAGAGUUACUCUAGGCCCUCGACGAGAUGCUGAAUCAUCCCUCUGGGGUGCAGCCCGCUGCGUGUGUAUUUGCUCUGCCUCCUGCCACCAGAGCAGUGGGCAGAGGGGAAUCCUUAAUGAAUAUUCAAUGGUGAUGAUGAUUUCAUAAUAGUGCCUUACAAUUAUCUCACAGAUUUUGCAAUAACUGUACAGGGUAUUUCCUGAUAUUGGAAAAUACUGGGCGCAGUACCAUUUGGCAGAAAAUCAAUUCAGAAUAAAAGUACCGUUUGUCACUGUGGUCCUAAGUUGUCCCAGCUUCCCUCUUUCCUGCUUCUCUAGCCCCCAUUUCAAGACUAUUAGUAGAACUGCAUUUGGAACAAGAAGAGAGGAAAUGUGUGUGGACAAAAAAUAAAGUACUACAAGCCUUUGUCAGAGUCUUCAACUCAAAGCCUUGAGGCUGGGGAAUAGAAUCAUUUGAAGAAUCAUCACUCACCUGUCUGGGAUCGAUGCUGGUAUUGAGCUUGGAGCCUCAGUACCUCUUCAUGUUGACCUCUCCGAUGGACCCUCCAAGUAGGCUACUUUGGACUUCCUCAUAGUGUAAUAACUGGGUUUCAUCAUUCAAGAUAGAGAGCCUGGAGGGGUCAUGUCACUUGUUGUGACCUAGCAUAGGAAGGCAUGCAUGCCACAUUCAGUUCAUCCCGGUAGUCACAAAGUCCCGCUUAGUUUCAAGGGGAGGGAAGAUAGACUCCAGAUGGUGACUGGCAAUGUUCUGAAAGAGCAUGUAGAAACAGAGUAUGACUAUGGCUAUUUUUGAAAAUGCAAUUUGCCACAUAGGGAUUGAUAUUUCUAUUUUAUAAAUGAGAAAUUGAGACACAGAGAGAGGUUAAGUGGUUGCUCAGAACUUUCCUUGUCUAGUGUGGAAAUACUGAAACUGCUAGUAUAAUUUUUAUUUCUUUAGAACAGAGAAAAUAUACUGAACUUGUCUUAAUUUUACCCUGGGAAAAAAAUAGAGUAACAUGAAAAUCAUUUCAAAAGUAUCAUUGACAUAGUCAUAUUUCAUAAGAAGAAUAGGAUCCCUUUUUGUAAGUUAAUAUGAAAAUUGUUAACAUUACUUUCAUCUGUUGACUUCUUUAUAUAUCUAACCAGAGGUUUUUUAUUUUGUUUUUGUUUUUUUGAGAUACAGAUUUCAGGUUCCAAAUUGUAUUCCUCCACCCGUCUCAAGCUCAACAUAUUCCAAAGAAAACUCAUCAUUUUUCUCUCAACCUAUCUCCUCCAUAAGUGGAUUUCCUGUUUCUGUCGAAGUUGCCACCAUUCUUCUAAUUGGCAGGGCUAAGGGCUUCUGGGUUGACCUUGACUCUUCCCUGUCCUUCAAUCAAGUGUGACCAGGCAUUUUAAACUCUGUCUUUGUAAUAUUUUUGUGUAUCCAUCCACUCACCUAGGAAAACAGUGAUAAUAAUCUCUGUUAUUAGAGAAGACAUUUUAAUAUCGCAGUCACUUUAGGAUCAUUUCUGUUGUCUCCUUUCAGAGACAAGUCUUCAUUACUUUAAUUUGCUCUUUACUCAUCUGUCUCCUCCAUGAGACUAUGAAGAAUUUAGAGCAGUAGUGCUAACCUUAUUCAUCCUGUUUCCAAGCAUCCCAAUGCAACACAUGACCUAGUCAAGAGAUGUUUGUAGAACGAAUAAAUGGUGUGCUUUAUUUCUCUGUACUAGUUAGGAAAGAUUAAUGUUCAUGAUAAACAACCCUAAUCUCAGUGGCUUAAAACAAUAAAUGCUUACUUCUUGCGCA